ACGGGAGGCCGCAGUGAGGGAUAUUGCACAAUGGGCGAAAGCCUGAUGCAGCAACGCCGCGUGAGGGAUGAAGGUUUUCGGAUUGUAAACCUCUGUCUUCGGUGAAGAUAAUGACAUUAGCCGAGGAGGAAGCCACGGCUAACUACGUGCCAGCAGCCGCGGUAAUACGUAGGUGGCAAGCGUUGUCCGGAGUUACUGGGUGUAAAGGGAGCGCAGGCGGGAAAGCAAGUCAGCGGUGAAAUGCAUAGGCUUAACCUAUGAACUGCCGUUGAAACUGUUUUUCUUGAGUGGAGUAGAGGCAAGCGGAAUUCCGAGUGUAGCGGUGAAAUGCGUAGAUAUUCGGAGGAACACCAGUGGCGAAGGCGGCUUGCUGGGCUCUAACUGACGCUGAGGCUCGAAAGUGUGGGGAGCAAACAGGAUUAGAUACCCUGGUA
rnacentral:rRNA from 1 species